AUUAAAUGAGAGUUUGAUCCUGGCUCAGGACGAACGCUGGCGGCGUGCCUAAUACAUGCAAGUAGAACGCUGAAGACU
rnacentral:rRNA from 1 species